UACAGAGGUCCCAAGCGUUGUUCGGAUUCAUUGGGCGUAAAGGGUGUGUAGGCGGCGCGGUAAGUCGGGUGUGAAAUCUCGGAGCUUAACUCCGAAACUGCAUUCGAUACUGCCGUGCUUGAGGACUGGAGAGGAGACUGGAAUUUACGGUGUAGCGGUGAAAUGCGUAGAUAUCGUAAGGAAGACCAGUGGCGAAGGCGGGUCUCUGGACAGUUCCUGACGCUGAGGCACGAAGGUCAGGGGAGCAAACGGG
rnacentral:rRNA from 1 species